CCCUUAGAUGUCCUGGGCCGCACGCGCGCUACACUGACGGAGCCAGCGAGCUUACCCCUUUGCCGAAAGGCAUGGGAAAUCUUUUGAAUCUCCGUCGUGCUGGGGAUAGAUCAUUGCAAUUAUUGAUCUUGAACGAGGAAUUCCUAGUAAGCGCGAGUCAUAAGCUCGCGUUGAUUACGUCCCUGCCCUUUGUACACACCGCCCGUCGCUACUACCGAUUGAACGGUUUAGUGAGGGCCUCGGAUUGGUCUCGGCCCGCUCUUUACCGGGCGGCGCCGUUGGUCGAGAAGACGCUCGAACUUGAUCGUUUAGAGGAAGUAAAAGUCGUAACA
rnacentral:rRNA from 1 species